CCUACGGGAGGCAGCAGUGGGGAAUAUUGCACAAUGGGGGAAACCCUGAUGCAGCAACGCCGCGUGAGUGAAGAAGUCAUUCGUGAUGUAAAGCUCUAUCAGCCGGGAAGAAAAUGACGGUACCUGACUAAGAAGCCCCGGCUAACUACGUGCCAGCAGCCGCGGUCAUACGUAGGGGGCAAGCGUUAUCCGGAUUUACUGGGUGUAAAGGGAGAGUUGACGGGGACGAAAGUCUGGAGGGAAAUGCCAGGGCUCAACACUGGAACUGCUUUGGAAACUGUGUGGCUAGAGUGCGGGAGAGGUAAAUGGAAUGCGUAGUGUAGCGGUGAAAUGCGUAGAUAUUAGGAGGAACUCCAGUGGCGAAGGCGGCUUACUGGACUGUAACUGACGUUGAGGCUCGAAGGCGUGGGGAGCAAACAGGAUUAGAUACCCGGGUAGUC
rnacentral:rRNA from 1 species